CACUCAAAAUUCAACAGUAAAAAACAAAGCAAUCAAAUGAGAAAAUGGGCAAAAGACAUAAAGCACCAAAGCACAUAAAAAAAUAUUCAAUGUCCUUAGCCGUUAGAGAACCCACAAAAAAGCAAUCAUGAAACUACCAUACAACCUAGCUAUCUCAUUCCUGGGUAUUAUUCCAGAGAAAUAAAGACAUAUAUCCACACAAAAACAUGUAACAAUGAAUAUUUACAGCACUGUUAGUUAUAACAGCCAAAAACUAGGAGCAAACCAGAUUUCCUUUGAGGAGUGAAUAAAUAAACUGUUAUACAUCCACACCAUGGAAUGCUACUCAGCAACAAAAAGGAACAAAUCAUUGAUUCAAACAACCACUUGGAUAAAUCUCUAGGGAAUUACGGCCCAAUCAAAAUGACAACAUACAUCUUCAAAUAUGUCAGCUACACAAGGGGAGGGAGAAGAAAGAAAAGAAGCUACGAAAUAAGAAGGCCAGUGGAAGCAACCCAGGUAUCCACCAACAGAUGAAUGGAUAAAUAAAAUGUGGUAUAUACAUA